CGGGUGGCUGCAUGGGCGCAGCCUGAUGCAGCCAUGCCGCGUGUAUGAAGAAGGCCUUCGGGUUGUAAAGUACUUUCAGCAGUGAGGAAGGGGGUGUCGUUAAUAGCGGCAUCUCUUGACGUUAGCUGCAGAAGAAGCACCGGCUAACUCCGUGCCAGCAGCCGCGGUAAUACGGAGGGUGCGAGCGUUAAUCGGAAUUACUGGGCGUAAAGCGCAUGCAGGUGGUUUGUUAAGUCAGAUGUGAAAGCCCGGGGCUCAACCUCGGAACUGCAUUUGAAACUGGCAAACUAGAGUACUGUAGAGGGGGGUAGAAUUUCAGGUGUAGCGGUGAAAUGCGUAGAGAUCUGAAGGAAUACCAGUGGCGAAGGCGGCCCCCUGGACAGAUACUGACACUCAGAUGCGAAAGCGUGGGGAGCAAACAGGAUUAGAUACCCUGGUAGUCCACGCCGUAAACGAUGUCUACUUGGAGGUUGUGGCCUUGAGCCGUGGCUUUCGGAGCUAACGCGUUAAGUAGACCGCCUGGGGAGUACGGUCGCAAGAUUAAAACUCAAAUGAAUUGACGGGGGCCCGCACAAGCGGUGGAGCAUGUGGUUUAAUUCGAUGCAACGCGAAGAACCUUACCUACUCUUGACAUCCAGAGAACUUUCCAGAGAUGGAUUGGUGCCUUCGGGAACUCUGAGACAGGUGCUGCAUGGCUGUCGUCAGCUCGUGUUGUGAAAUGUUGGGUUAAGUCCCGCAACGAGCGCAACCCUUAUCCUUGUUUGCCAGCGAGUAAUGUCGGGAACUCCAGGGAGACUGCCGGUGAUAAACCGGAGGAAGGUGGGGACGACGUCAAGUCAUCAUGGCCCUUACGAGUAGGGCUACACACGUGCUACAAUGGCGCAUACAGAGGGCAGCCAACUCGCGAGAGUGAGCGAAUCCCAAAAAGUGCGUCGUAGUCCGGAUUGGAGUCUGCAACUCGACUCCAUGAAGUCGGAAUCGCUAGUAAUCGUAGAUCAGAAUGCUACGGUGAAUACGUUCCCGGGCCUUGUACACACCGCCCGUCACACCAUGGGAGUGGGCUGCAAAAGAAGUGGGUAGUUUAACCUUCGGGAGGACGCUCAUCACUUUGUGCUUCAUGACUGAGGUGAAGUCUACACCGGGGAUGUUUUCUCCA
rnacentral:rRNA from 1 species